CUGCCCGUCUGAUAUAAUUUAACGGCCGCGGUAUACUGACCGUGCGAAGGUAGCAUAAUCACUUGUUCUUUAAAUGGGGACUAGUAUGAAUGGCACCACGAGGGCUUUACUGUCUCCUUUCUUCAAUCAGUGAAACUGACCUCCCUGUGAAGAGGCAGGGAUACUACUAUAAGACGAGAAGACCCCAUGGAGCUUUAAACCCAACAACAGCCCAAACACCUACCCCCUCAAAGUUUUUAAAGUUUUGUUAGUUGGUUUUAGGUUGGGGUGACCGCGGAGUACAAACCACCCUCCACGACGAAUGGGCCUACCCCCUUACCCAAGAAUUACACCUCUAAGGAUUAACACAUUAACGUAAAAUGAUCCAAAUAUUUGAUCAACGAACCAAGUUACCCUGGGGAUAACAGCGCAAUCCAUUUUUAGAGCCCCUAUCGACAAAUGGGUUUACGACCUCGAUGUUGGAUCAGGGUAUCCCGGAGGUGCAGCCGCUUCCAAUGGUUUGUUUGUUCAACAAUUAAAACCCUACGUGAUCUGAGUUCAGA
rnacentral:rRNA from 1 species